rnacentral:rRNA from 1 species
UAUGAAGGGGGCUAGCGUUGCUCGGAGUCACUGGGCGUAAAGCGCACGUAGGCGGCUUGUUAAGUCAGGGGUGAAAUCCUGGAGCUCAACUCCAGAACUGCCUUUGAUACUGGCAAGCUUGAGUCCGGGAGAGGCGAGUGGAACUGCGAGUGUAGAGGUGAAAUUCGUAGAUAUUCGCAAGAACACCAGUGGCGAAGGCGGCUCACUGGCCCGGUACUGACGCUGAGGUGCGAAAGCGUGGGGAGCAAACAGG